rnacentral:rRNA from 1 species
UCCGCAGGGUGCAAGCGUUGUCCGGAUUUAUUGGGUUUAAAGGGUGCGUAGGUGGCUGAUUAAGUCAUGGGUGAAAGCCCGCAGCUCAACUGUGGAAUUGCCUGUGAUACUGAUUAGCUUGAGUGCGGUUGAGGCAGCUGGAAUUGGUGGUGUAGCGGUGAAAUGCAUAGAUACCACCAGGAACACCGAUUGCGAAGGCAGGUUGCUAAGCCGUAACUGACAAUGAGGCACGAAAGCGUGGGGAGCAAACAGG